rnacentral:rRNA from 1 species
AGCGAACGCUGGCGGCAGGCUUAACACAUGCAAGUCGAGCGGGCACUUCGGUGUCAGCGGCAGACGGGUGAGUAACACGUGGGAACGUACCCUUUGGUUCGGAAUAACGCUGGGAAACUAGCGCUAAUACCGGAUACGCCCUUUUGGGGAAAGGCUUGCUGCCGAAGGAUCGGCCCGCGUCUGAUUAGCUAGUUGGUGGGGUAAUGGCCUACCAAGGCGACGAUCAGUAGCUGGUCUGAGAGGAUGAUCAGCCAUACUGGGACUGAGACACGGCCCAGACUCCUACGGGAGGCAGCAGUGGGGAAUAUUGGACAAUGGGCGCAAGCCUGAUCCAGCCAUGCCGCGUGAGUGAUGAAGGCCUUAGGGUUGUAAAGCUCUUUUGUCCGGGACGAUAAUGACGGUACCGGAAGAAUAAGCCCCGGCUAACUUCGUG